rnacentral:tRNA from 1 species
GGAGAGGUCGCAUAGCGGACUAGUGCGCAUCAUUGGAGAUGAUGUGUGGGGGCAACCUCACCGCGGGUUCGAAUCCCGCCCUCUCCGCCA